AUUGAACGCUGGCGGCAGGCUUAACACAUGCAAGUCGAGCGGGGUGAUGGUGCUUGCACUAUCACUUAGCGGCGGACGGGUGAGUAAUGCUUAGGAAUCUGCCUAUUAGUGGGGGACAACAUCUCGAAAGGGAUGCUAAUACCGCAUACGUCCUACGGGAGAAAGCAGGGGAUCACUUGUGACCUUGCGCUAAUAGAUGAGCCUAAGGCGGAUUAGCUAGUUGGUGGGGUAAAGGCCUACCAAGGCGACGAUCUGUAGCGGGUCUGAGAGGAUGAUCCGCCACACUGGGACCGAGACACGGCCCAGACUCCUACGGGAGGCAGCAGUGGGGAAUAUUGGACAAUGGGGGGAACCCUGAUCCAGCCAUGCCGCGUGUGUGAAGAAGGCCUUAUGGUUGUAAAGCACUUUAAGCGAGGAGGAGGCUCUUUUGGUUAAUACCCAAGAUGAGUGGGCGUUACUCGCAGAAUAAGCACCGGCUAACUCUGUGCCAGCCGCCGCCGUAA
rnacentral:rRNA from 1 species